rnacentral:rRNA from 1 species
CCCUUAGAUGUUCUGGGAUGCACGCGCGUUACACUGAUUCGUUCAACGAGUUUAUGACCUUGCCUGAUGAGGUGGGGGAAUCUUUUCAAAUCGCAUCGUGAUGGGGAUAGAGUAUUGUAACUGUUAGUCUUCAACGAGGAAUUCCUAGUAAGUACGUGUCAUCAGCUCGUACUGAUUAUGUCCCUGCCCUUUGUACACACCGCCCGUCGCUCCUACCGAUUGAGUGCUCAGGUGAAUAGUAUGGACUGCAUCAGUGUUCGGUCUCCGAAUGUUGACGCGAGAAAUUCUGUGAAUCUUAUUGCUUAGAGGAAGGAGAANUCGUAACA